rnacentral:lncRNA from 1 species
CAGAAAGGCCUCCCCAGUGACAGGGUGUCCGAGGGCCCAACCUCUGGGGCCCCAGAAUCAGCAUCUGCACUUCAGUGAGGGGAAGGAGGGUGGGAGGGAUGAUGGAUGGAUGGAUGGAUGGACAAAUGAACAGAUGGAUGAAUGCAUGGGCAGAUGAAUGGAAAGACAGAUGGAUGGAUGGAUGGAUAGAUGGAUGGAUGGUCAGUUGGACAGAUGGAUGGGUGGACAGAUGGAUGGACAGAUAAAUGGAUGGAUGGAUGAAUAGAUGGAUGGACAGACAGAUGGAUGGAUAGAUAAAUGGAUGGAUGGAUGAAUAGAUGGAUGGACAGACAGAUGGAUGGAUAGAUAAAUGGAUGGAUGGAUGAACAGAUGGAUGGACGGACAGAUGGAUGGACAGAUAAAUGGAUGGAUGGAUGGAUGGAUGGAUGGACAGAUGGAUGGAUGGACGGAUGGAUGGACAGAUGGAUGGGGAUGAAGCUGGAGGCGAGAAGUGCAGGGCAGGUGAGUCUCCGCUGGGAAUAUCUGUGGGUUUCUGUUUUUGCACUUGACAUUUGACAAUCACAAAUUGUGUCUUAUUUCUUCUCCUCCUACUUCAUCUUCCAACCCCUGACGUGACGCAACACCCACAUAUACUCACACAGACAGCACACACCUACAUACAGACCGCAGCCACCAUAGGCAAAUGGCACGCUCCAUGACACAAUGACACCCAUGCACUACACACACACACACACACAUACACACACACCUGUUUCCUUACAAAUGCACAUCUUCCCAGGCACACAUGGGACCUCACAAGCGGCCUCAUACACAUAGAGGCAGACAUGCCUUCACGGAUUUGUGAGCAGAUGUGUGGCCACUUCAGGGACACACACUUCCAGUCACCGUGUUCUUCCUCUGCUCUUUCCCAUUACUUUACAAAGUGCUUUCCUGUUGGUUCCCUGCCUGACCUUUUAGAGGGCGUCCUCUGCACUAGGUAACACACACAAAGAUGCCUAGGACUCACCGUGCCCGGGGAGGCUCCUACUCCAGUGCAGGAAACGAGAGAAAGUGACAAUCAAACCUCCUGGGAUCAUACAACUCGGAAACUGUUUCUUGAGCAUGUAUUUUGUGCUGGACCUGCGUUGGGCUUUGGAAAGGCAGAGGGAAGUAAGGUCCCAUCCUCCUGGUCUCAAGGAACUUGCAGACUAAGGAGGAGAGAGACAGGCAAAGACAUAAUACCUUGUCCUGAUGCACACAGGGCAGUGGUAGCCCAGAAAGGGGUGAUGAACGCCUCUGGGAGAGAAUCAGGAAGCACAUCAGUCUGUGCCAGCCGCUGUAACAAAAUUCCUUUAUACUUGCAGCUGGUUCUACAAGCUGGGAAGUCCAAAAUCACCUGCAGACUGGGUGUCUCGUGAGGGCCUGUUCCUCAUAGAUAGUGCUUCUAAGUGUCCUCAGUGGGCCUUACCCUUGAGGGUGGAUUCCUCAUAACCUAAACUGCCACCUUUCAAAAUUGUGGCAGUGGGGAUUAGAUUUUAGGAGCCACACGAUGGAGAGCACUCAGACCACCAAGGAGCGCUCCACCCACCGCAGAAGGCUCCACCCACGGCAGAGGGCUCCACCCACGGCAGAGGGCUCCACCCACGGCAGAGGGCUCCACCCACCGCAGAGGGCUCCACCCACGGCAGAGGGCUCCACCCACCGCAGGCGCUCCAGGCUCCCGGGAGAA